rnacentral:misc_RNA from 1 species
GAGAGAGAGAGAGAGAGAGAUACAUACACAUACAAAACAGUGACAGUCCACAUUACUAGAGAUGAGGGGACCUUUGGGGGCGGUGAUAGGGAGAUACCCAUCAAGUGACGGAAGUUCCCAAGUUGUUGGAAUCAUUAGGCAAAAUAGGAAAUGCAGAGAUGUUCCGUUUCUUGUCAUUUUUAUAGCACUUUGGGUUGCCAUGAUUGUUAACUCUAGCUUUGGAUUUAACCAAGGAAACCCCUCAAGGCUUACUUAUGGGCUGGAUUACAAAGGAAAUGUGUGUGGUGAUAAGCAUGCAAAUCCGGAUCUUCAUGAAUUGGAGCUUAUGUAUUGGUUAAAUCCAAACCAGGUCUAUCUUAGCGGUUUGAAGAACAGCCAAUUCAAGUUGGCCAAUGCUCGGACUAUAUGUUUGUUGGAUUGCCCCAUUCCGUCUGAAGAUACACUAAAUUGGGUUUGUGAUUAUCCAGCAGGAGAUAUCCGUAUCUCAUUUAAUGAUUGGAUUGAUAGCAAUUAUGAUUAUUUUGAGUUUCUUACUCCUGAAAUGAGGAAUACAUCCCUUCAACUCCAGGGUCCUUGUUACCCUGUUAUAUUUCCUAGUGUAAAUGUUUUUUGGAGGUGUCAAUACAUUGCUCAUCCAUCAAAUGUAUCAUUGCGGCAUUGGCAGCAAAUGGGAGGAGUACACAUCAAUGAGGACAUUAUAAUAGACAAAUCCAUUCACAAAUCCAUUAAUGCUCGGUCAUCUGUGUUGAAGAGAUACAUGGCUGAUAUUGGAAAGGCAUGGCCUGUGUUGAUUGUCUGUGGGGGACUCUUGCCACUGUUUUUAUCAGUGAUUUGGCUGCUGAUGAUUCGGCAUUUUGUUGCCGCAAUGCCUUGGAUAACAGUUGCUCUCUUUGAUAUUCUCAUAAUAUUAGUAACAAUGUUUUCCUACUUGAAAGCUGGAUGGAUUAGGAAUGAUGCCAUCUCUCCUAUCAUUGGUGAGCAUGAUCCAUACUACCAUGUUUCUGGACGGGAACUAAGCCAUCUCCGCACUGUUGCUGUUCUCAUGACUGUUAUAAUGGUUGUCGCUAUCCUCACAUCAAUUGCUAUUGUUCGCCGCAUUCUUAUGGCAACAUCUGUCCUCAAGGUGGCUGCGAAGGUCAUAGGAGAAGUUCAAGCACUCAUAAUUUUUCCAGUUAUACCAUAUGUUGUCCUUGCAAUCUUUUAUAUGGUCUGGUUUUCGGCUGCUUUUCAUCUUUUUAGUUCUGGCCGAAUUGUCCAAAAUGACUGCGAUUCCAGCUGCUGUGCCUAUGACCUUGAGUCAAAAAAGGUUAGCUGUGAUCACUGCUGUGGCUAUAGCAUCCAUUAUACUUCUCAUAUAGCAGUUGCCAUCAUUUUCCACCUGUUUGGAUGUUACUGGGCUACACAAUUUUUUAUAGCUUGCUCUGCAACUGUGAUUGCUGGUUCUGUUGCCUCCUACUACUGGGCUCGUGGUGGGACAUCGCCGGAGAUUACAUUUCUUCCAGUUUUUUCCUCUAUGAAGCGGCUUAUGCGGUACAGCCUUGGGUCAGUUGCUCUUGGCUCCCUGACCGUGUCAUUUGUGGAAUCAGUUCGCUUCAUGCUUGAGUCAAUCCGUCGCAAACUGAAAGUUACUGGCACUACACCUGACGGCUGCAUAGGAAAGAUGGCGCAUCAUACUUCACAGUUUUGUCUGAGAUGUGUUGAGUGGACUAUAAAAUCUGUGAACCGCAAUGCUUACAUAAUGGUAAUGUAAUAAUGUCAAAUCUAGUUUCAAGAAAAGUUUAAAAUAUGUGUUGUGUGGAUUGCCCAUGGUUUUUAGGAUUCGGCCAUAUACCGUUAGUGAUUACCCUGUUAUAAGGUGGAAUUGUAGAGCAUACACAAGGAAAAUCGGAAAUUAGCAUUAAAGAUACUUUAUUUUCUCAUAGUUGCAUCUUGAUUUGCACUGUCAUAAUGUUUUUCCUUUUCCACUUCCAAGAAUUUUAUUGAAGCACUUGCAAUUUCAUAGAGUUUAUCUUUUCCACAAUCCAUAUGCCAAUAUUUGUCACUUUCGAUUUUAUUUGUUUGUGUGUGAUUUACUUGUGGCUUCUGCAGAUAGCUAUAACAGGUAAAAGCUUCUGUAGGGCAUCUGCAAUUGCAACUGAAUUGAUCAUGAACAACAUUCUUAGGAUUGGAAAGGUGAAUGUGAUUGGGGAUGUUAUUCUAUGUCUGGGAAAAUUAUGUGUUAGCCUUUUGAGUGCUGUUUUUGCUUUCCUCAUGUUGGAUACCCACAAAUAUAGAUCUGCUCAUAACAAGAUAACCUCCCCGCUGUUUCCCGUAUUGGUAUGUAUUUAUAUGAUUAGCUCUAUAUACUAUGGAGAAUUUAUGUACUUCAUUAUGCUAUGAUAACUAGUGAUUCAGAUGUCAUUUUUUUUUCAUCUUUUUGCAGGUUUGCUGGGCUCUAGGUUAUAUUGUUGCAACUCUUUUCUUUGCAGUGGUGGAGAUGUCAAUUGAUACUAUCAUUCUUUCAUUCUGCCAAGAUUCCGACGAGCACCAAGGGACUGCACAGUAUGCUCCUCCUCUUCUUAUUGAGACACUCAAUGAUCAAAAUGAGAUGCAGAGACUUACCCAAUGAUCCUACUGAAACAUGUCAAUGUAUAAGUUGCCAGAGUCACAUUUGCUUAGUGGAAUUUGAAAAUUCAAUUAUAUUACUUAGAGCACUCACUUAGGGGAAGAAAAAAAAAUUCUGGCCUGACUCAUCCUAUUUCCUUCUUCCCCCCCUCCCCCCUGAUCAUUUGAUCUUUGACUUUUUUAAAUUCGUUUUUCCAAUUUUCCUGGUUGCCUUAGCUAGUUGGUCUGAAACUGUAUAUUUGGGCUGUGCCUGUAUAUUUUAUAAUGAAGUCUCAAGAGUUUCAGAUCCGGAAGAGCUGUUGGUUUAAACAUUGUUUUUUGGUAGGAAAGGUGGGCUUAUCACUGGUCAAGGGUGAGCAGUGUUAUUCUUUGUUGGGUUGUUUAUAAGGUUGGCUAUACCACCUGAUCCAUCCUUAUCUCAUAAGCUGUCUAAUCAACAACCAGGGCACAGAAGUUGUAACACAAUCUUCUCCCAUCAUGGAUUCACCAUGGACGUCUCACUGCAAACAAUUUUACGUAUUAUGUCGAGAUUAGUACAAAUUAUUAAAUUCUUAUGAUCUCUAUACUUCCAAUUGUGAAAAUGAUGAUUUGCAUCUGUCAUGAGAAACUUCACGAUCAAUUAUUGACGAACAAAAAGAAUUUAGAAUCCAGCAUGAAGUGAUGCAUA